rnacentral:rRNA from 1 species
AAUCAACGCUGGCGGCGUGCCUCAGACAUGCAAGUCGAACGAUUAAACUUCCCUUCGGGGAAGAUAUAAAGUGGCGCACGGGUGAGUAACACGUAGGUAAUGUACCUUUGGGUGAGGAAUAACUUAGGGAAACUUAAGCUAAUACCGCAUAAUGCAGCGGCUCCUUCGGGAGGCAGUGGAUAAAGAUUUAUCGCCUAAAGAGCAGCCUGCGGCAGAUUAGCUAGUUGGUAAGGUAACGGCUUACCAAGGCUACGAUCUGUAUCCGACCUGAGAGGGUGGUCGGACACACUGACACUGAAUAACGGGUCAGACUCCUACGGGAAGCAGCAGUCGGGAAUUUUGGGCAAUGGGCGAAAGCCUGACCCAGCAACGCCGCGUGAAGGAUGAAGUCUUUCGGGAUGUAAACUUCGUAAGAAUAGGAAGAAUAAGUGACUGUACUAUUUGUAAGGUCCGGCUAACUACGUG